rnacentral:rRNA from 1 species
GUGGACGCUGGCGGUAGGCCUCACCCCUGCAAGUCGCACGGCAGCACAGUAAGAGCUUGCUCUUACGGGUGGCGAGUGGCGGACGGGUGAGGAAUACAUCGGAAUCUACUUUUUCGUGGGGGAUAACGUAGGGAAACUUACGCUAAUACCGCAUACGACCUACGGGUGAAAGCAGGGGAUCUUCGGACCUUGCGCGAUUGAAUGAGCCGAUGUCGGAUUAGCUAGUUGGCGGGGUAAAGGCCCACCAAGGCGACGAUCCGUAGCUGGUCUGAGAGGAUGAUCAGCCACACUGGAACUGAGACACGGUCCAGACUCCUACGGGAGGCAGCAGUGGGGAAUAUUGGACAAUGGGCGCAAGCCUGAUCCAGCCAUACCGCGUGGGUGAAGAAGGCCUUCGGGUUGUAAAGCCCUUUUGUUGGGAAAGAAAAGCAGCAGGUUAAUACCCCGCUGUUCUGACGGUACCCAAAGAAUAAGCACCGGCUAACUUCGUG